rnacentral:rRNA from 1 species
CCAGACUCCUACGGGAGGCAGCAGUGGGGAAUAUUGCGCAAUGGGCGAAAGCCUGACGCAGCGACGCCGCGUGAGUGAUGACGGCCUUCGGGUUGUAAAGCUCUGUCUUCAGGGACGAUAAUGACGGUACCUGAGGAGGAAGCCACGGCUAACUACGUGCCAGCAGCCGCGGUAAUACGUAGGUGGCAAGCGUUAUCCGGAUUUACUGGGUGUAAAGGGCGUGUAGGCGGGUCUGCAAGUCAGAUGUGAAAUUCCAGGGCUCAACCCUGGAACUGCAUUUGAAACUGUAGAUCUUGAGUGAUGGAGAGGCAGGCGGAAUUCCGUGUGUAGCGGUGAAAUGCGUAGAUAUACGGAGGAACACCAGUGGCGAAGGCGGCCUGCUGGACAUUAACUGACGCUGAGGCGCGAAAGCGUGGGGAGCAAACAGGAUUAGAUACCCUAGUA